GCACUUGAAAACUUAGUGGAACCUAGGAUGAGUGGUCAAAAGUCACAUGGUUUGAUAGGGAGAGAGAUGUUAAGUGUGCCAGGCUACUUUGCAUACUGUCUGUAGGAUUAAAAUAACUUGCAGAACCACAAUGUCAAAGACAGUACAGUUUCCCUGACAGG